rnacentral:lncRNA from 1 species
AAAGGAGAUCUGGGGUUUGGAUAGCAAAAGAAACUGGAAUCUCUUUUGCAAAACUGUCUUGAAGAUUUCAAUCCAAAAUUGGUGACUGUCACCUCACUCCUUCUGUGGUUCACAGCCUUCUCUCAGACAGGCUUUAAGCAGGGAGGGGACACCCCAUGACACGGUGGACCAGACAACCAUGAGGGCACUGCUCCCUCCUCUUGGAGUCAGCUCUUCAUUCCCUCUCCCUUUCCUCUGGCACCUGACAGCCCUCUUGAAAUCCAGAGGUCCCAUUCUGAGGCUGCUGGAAGCCUGCAGGUGGAGGACGACCGGGUGCACCAAAACACUUCAUUUUAUGAUGGAUGCUACACGGCACAAACCAGGUCUCUAUAAGGUCUUCGGGAAGGGUCAGCGGGUCUCAGGAGGCCGGAUUCCCUUCUCCUCUGAAGCUAGGAACUGCUCUCAGCUGUCAGUUUGGGCACCUCUCUCACUCUGCCUUUGCUACCUGCCCUGAAUACAGCUAAUAUUCCCGCAGCACCACAGUGUCAUGGUCAUAAACUAGGAGUUUAUAGACCUACAUGCAAAAGACUGUCUUUAAAAGCCAAAGAUAUUAAACAAAUAUAGACAAGAUAAUAUGAAAUACAACAAGCAAGAUAAUUUUGGCUUUCAAUUUCAAUUGUCUUUCAUACUAGUUACAAAACAUCAACACUUAUGUAAUGUUAGAAUCUUGUGUGAGUUUAUGGAGGUAUUUUUCAUUAAAUUAAAUGCUUACAAGCAUCAGUUUCAUUUUCCUUCAUAACCUUCCUAUAAAAAGAAAAAAAACUAAAGAAACAUAAAAAGUAAAUUAUUUUUAAAAUCCUGCCCCUUUUAUGCCCGUUAACAUUUGCUUUUCUGAUUCAGAGAGUGGAAGUUGAGAUUUAUUGAGUGACAUCUGGUUAAUUAAAUGUCUAUUUCCCGUGGAGUGUUAAAGGAAUCAUAAUGCAGAAAGUCAACAUUGAGAGAGUAAUUAAAGUGCACCUAAAGAGCAGAACUAACCUUGUAGUUCACUGUAAUUAGAAACAAAAUGGGAACAAUAUGUUUAGAGAAUUACCUUCUUUAUUAGGUUGCCAUCGACAGAAACCUGUUUAUGUAUUUGAAAUCUCAUUUUGCACAUCUCCAUUUUCCUCUUGCCCAUCUGUGCAACUUAAUACCUCAGCAUGGAUGGCUCUUUCAGGAGUAAGCAGAGCUCAGUUCUGUUUUCCAGAUGUAUGCUAGUUUGGGGGCACUGGAGUUGCUUUGGAGUACAGGAUCUCUUUCCAGGGCUUCAGUACAUUUUCUUUGCCAGCAGUGGCUGCAGAAGAUUUAAGAAGUUGUAUUGCAAUUCUGCUAGAAAGAAGAGAGCUGAUCUGCGUAGGUGAUCAGGCCUCGACCUCGUUUAGUUGGCAAACCUGGAGGUUGCCAUCCAGCCCUUUCAUGUGAGGUCCUGUGACUUGUCUAAGCCUUUCAUUCAGAGCAAUGCCCCCGCUCCCCUCACCCCACAGUAGUCAGCUCCCGAGGAGCCCGGAGUACCAAAGUUACUGCAUCCUGGAGCCAAGCAGGGAAUCUGGUCCCUCAUUUUCAAUAUAACUGACCCAAAGGAAUACAGAGCAAAUCUGCAACUGAGAUCCACCAAAGUACGAGGGGUGGCCAGAACAAGCGGAGUUGGUCCAAGUACUCCAAGCCAUAGACGGCUCGUAAUGUGCAAGGAGUGACUGGUGAAUCAUGUUUCAAAGCUUUGUGUUUAGAGAACUACUUUUCAAAAUAAAAAAAUAUCAUCUAAAAGCUGGAAUCCA